UUACAGAUCCUGACUUUCCGUCUAGUUUCUGAAGAAUAUAUCUUGAAGAUUCGUCUUCAGGAUCACUUCUCUUCUGCUCAUUGAAGAAAAAAGGUUUGCCGGCCGGCAGUCUAUUCUUGAUCUACUUUGAUUAUCUCUUGGAAAGGUGUUAAAAUGAACA